rnacentral:rRNA from 1 species
GAUGAACGCUAGCGGCAGGCCUAAUACAUGCAAGUCGAACGGUGUCUUCGGACAUAGUGGCGCACGGGUGCGUAACACGUAUGCAACCUACCUUACAUUGGGGGAUAGCCUUUCGAAAGGGAGAUUAAUACCGCAUAAGACAGUAGCUGGGCAUCCAGCAGCUGUUAAAGAUUUAUCGAUGUAAGCUGGGCAUGCGUCCAAUUAGCUAGUUGGUGAGGUAACGGCUCACCCAGGCAAUGAUUGGUAGGGGAACUGAGAGGUCAAUCCCCCACCCUGGCACUGGGAUACGGGCCAGACUCCUGCGGGAGGCAGCAGUAGGGAAUAUUGGGCAAUGGACGCAAGUCUGACCCAGCCAUGCCGCGUGCAGGAUGAAGGCGUUAUGCGUUGUAAACUGCUUUUAUACAGGAAGAAACGACUCUUGCGAGAGGCAUUGACGGUACUGUAUGAAUAAGCACCGGCUAACUCCGUGCCAGCAGCCGCGGUAAUAC